CUUGGUCAUUUAGAGGAAGUAAAAGUCGUAACAAGGUCUUCGUAGGUGAACCUGCGAAGGGAUCAUUACAAAAGGCUCCGGCCAAAUUUAACUCUUGUGAAACUUCUGUCUACACGCAAAACUUUCAACAACGGAUCUCUUGGCUCUGGCGUCGAUGAAGAACGCAGCUAAAUGCGAUACGUGAUGUGAAUUGCAGAUUGUGAAUCAUCGAAACUUUGAACGCACAUUGCGCCUUUUGGUAUUCCGGAGGGCAUGUCUGUUUGAGCGUUGUUAACUCUCGGAAGGUCUUGGAGGUUGCUUCUCCGCACCCCUUAAACCGACGGCAACGUGUCAGCGGUGAAACGCUAAGCUGCGCCGAUCAAUAUUUUUCUCCUCAACCUCAAAUCAGACAAGAGUACCCGCUGAACUUAAGCAUAUCAAUAAGCGGAGGAAAAGAAACCAACAGGGAUGGCCCUAGUAACGGCGAGCGAAGCGGCCACAGCUCAGAUUUGGAACCGGGCAACCGGGUUGUAAUCUGCAGAGGAGGAUCCGGCAGCGGCAGAACUCAAGUCCUCUGGAAUGAGGCGCCUUGGACGGUGACAGCCCGGUGAAGUUCAUGCCAACGCCAUUCGGGCCUCUCUCAACGAGUCGAGUUGUUUGGGAUUGCAGCUCUAAUUGGGAGGUAAAUUCCUUCUAAGGCUAAAUAUCCGCCAGAGACCGAUAGCGAACAAGUAGAGUGAUCGAAAGAUGAAAAGCACUUUGGAAAGAGAGUCAAACAGCGCGUGAAAUUGUUGAAAGGGAAGCGCUCGUUGUCAGCCGUGGCAGUCUGCUCAGCCGGUCCGUCAGGGCCGGUGCGUUCAGGCCUGCCAGGCCAGCAUCGGUUUGGGCAGCUGGAUAAAAGCGCGGGAACGUGGCUCCUCGGAGUGUUAUAGCCCGCGCCGACACAGCUCGUCCAGACCGAGGUCUGCGAUUUCUCAGAUGCUGGCGUAAGGGCACCGAGCGGCCCGUCUUGAAACACGGACC
rnacentral:rRNA from 1 species